GCACAGAUCAGGUGAGUAGGAACCACAUUAAAAUCCUACAACAGGAGGGCUUUCCUUGGUCAACUCUCCCUGUGGCUGGAGUUUUCUAGCGACUAUUAGUUCAACUCCAAAGAAAAAUGAGAAACAAGCAACUGAUUCCAGCUGAUGUUCCAUGUCAUCAUUUCCAACCAAGAGAUGCAGUGUAUUGUGUUGCUGACCACACACACCUGGAUACAUGCAGCCCAUGUGAAAAAGCUAAAUCCAAGAUGCCAGACAGAUGAUCCAGAUGAUCCAGUUGCACUAGAAAGUUACUCAGACCUGAUUGAGAUGUUAAAGGAUGAAAGAAGCUGUCAGGAGGAAGCCAAGAGAGCCCCCUGCACAUGCUAAGCGACCAAGUGUCCAGUGGAGAGAGCGAGUUGAGGCUGAAGAGCAGGAACUCCCCUCCACGGAACGACAUCUGGUCAGUCAGCAAGAUCAGCUGUCCUUUUAACCUCAAGUCAAGAGUUUCUGAGUUAACGAGGCAUAAUAACCCUCCAACGAAAUCUGGAUGCUCUAAGAGACAUUCAGUGAAGAGAAGAUAUUAAGACAACGCCGUUACAACUACUUUGUGUGUUUUUAACCUCUAUAGUUCUCUGAAUUGUAAAAAUGAAAUUUGAGUGUGUGUUAUUUCUUAUUAUACAAGCCCUGCCUUGCAUUGCAAUCCAAAAAAGAGUCUCAAAAGCAUCCCAUGACUUGAGCAGGUAAAAAAAAAAAAAAAAGUGUUUAGUUGCAUUAUUAAGCAAAGAACAAAAGAGUGAAGAUUAGAGCUUUAAUAGAGAAUGGUUUUAUGGCUAUGGGCAAAGCAACGACCAUCAGGAGGGAAUCUGUCGCGGAAUUUUAGCUGGUUCUUUUGCUAUGCCCAUAGGUAUGAGAAAAUGGCCUAUCAUCCUUAGCUAUAGUUCAUAAAGUUCAUGGCUUCCUGUUCCUUUAAACCUUGUUUUUAAUGCUGCAAUUGCUUUUGCUUUUAGAGUUAAGUUGAUGCAGAAACUAUGUGACAACAUAGGCGUUGUCCACCCCGGCAGUCAGAGGGUGGAGGAUGCCUGCAAGGAAAGAUAACCAAGAAAAUAACAGAUAGAGAUGUUUUUCUGUAACUGUGAUAUCUUCUAGUCAACGAAGCACUCAUACUCUGUACAUGCCUAAAUGCUUAGCUUCUUAUUGGUUGUUGCAUUUUCAGAACUGUAUUAUGAUUGGUGAGAAAGUUCUGCCAUGGUAUCUAAGGGGAACUGACUCUAUAAAUAUGUUGACAUUUCCUGAAAUUAUUGGGCAGUUUCCUCAGACUGCCACCUUGCAGCGCUGCUCGUAAUAAACCUUCUAAGGAGAGAGAAA